UACGAAGGGGACUAGCGUUGUUCGGAAUCACUGGGCGUAAAGCGCACGUAGGCGGAUUUGUAAGUCAGGGGUGAAAUCCCGGGGCUCAACCUCGGAACUGCAGGGCAUACUGCCGUGCUUGAGGCAGGUAGGGGCCACUGGAACUCUCGGUGGAACGGUGAAAUGUGUAGAUAUCGAGAGGAACGCCCGAGGCGAAAGCGGGUGGCUAGGCCUGUCCUGACGCUGAGACGCGAAAGCGUGGGGAGCAAACGGG
rnacentral:rRNA from 1 species